AUUGAACGCUGGCGGCAUGCCUUACACAUGCAAGUCGAACGGCGGCACGGGUGCUUGCACCUGGUAGCGAGCGGCGAACGGGUGAGUAAUACAUCGGAACGUACCUUAUCGUGGGGGAUAACGCAGCGAAAGUUGCGCUAAUACCGCAUACGCCCUGAGGGGGAAAGCGGGGGACCGUAAGGCCUCGCGCGAUUAGAGCGGCCGAUGUCUGAUUAGCUUGUUGGUGAGGUAAAAGCUCACCAAGGCGAUGAUCAGUAGCUGGUCUGAGAGGACGAUCAGCCACACUGGGACUGAGACACGGCCCAGACUCCUACGGGAGGCAGCAGUGGGGAAUUUUGGACAAUGGGGGCAACCCUGAUCCAGCAAUGCCGCGUGAGUGAAGAAGGCCUUCGGGUUGUAAAGCUCUUUUGUCAGGGAAGAAACAGCAGCUCUAACACAGUCUGCGAAUGACGGUACCUGAAGAAUAAGCACCGGCUAACUACGUGCCAGCCGCCGCCGUAA
rnacentral:rRNA from 1 species